AUCUUGCAGGAUUGUUACAUAGGUAUACACAUGCCAAGGUGAUUUGCUGCCUCCAUCCCCCCCCACCUCCCCGCCACCUACUUUUUUAGUAGUUUUUAAUUAGGGUAUGGGAGGGGUAAGGAGGUUUUCUAUAAACUGUAUCAUUUUCUGCUGAGGGUGGAGUGUCCCAUCCUUUUAAUCAAGAUGAUUAUGAUUUUGACUAAUAAAAAAGACUUUUUAAAAAUAAAGUUACAAUGUUACUAGAAGUCUAAACUGGAGGGUGGGGGAGGAUAGGGGAUGCUGGGGUUAAUUCAGGCCAUUUGAAGUAAGUAGAAUUUCUCUUAUCCAUAAAAUGUAAUUUGGGUAAUAACCUUUGAAGAGACUGUUAUUUAUGUAAACUCAUUUGGUUACUACCAAUAAAAUGCAGAGAUCUGAA